rnacentral:rRNA from 1 species
AUUGAACGCUGGCGGCAGGCCUAACACAUGCAAGUCGAGCGGAUGAAGGGAGCUUGCUCCUGGAUUCAGCGGCGGACGGGUGAGUAAUGCCUAGGAAUCUGCCUGGUAGUGGGGGAUAACGUCCGGAAACGGGCGCUAAUACCGCAUACGUCCUGAGGGAGAAAGUGGGGGAUCUUCGGACCUCACGCUAUCAGAUGAGCCUAGGUCGGAUUAGCUAGUUGGUGGGGUAAAGGCCUACCAAGGCGACGAUCCGUAACUGGUCUGAGAGGAUGAUCAGUCACACUGGAACUGAGACACGGUCCAGACUCCUACGGGAGGCAGCAGUGGGGAAUAUUGGACAAUGGGCGAAAGCCUGAUCCAGCCAUGCCGCGUGUGUGAAGAAGGUCUUCGGAUUGUAAAGCACUUUAAGUUGGGAGGAAGGGCAGUAAGUUAAUACCUUGCUGUUUUGACGUUACCAACAGAAUAAGCGCCGGCUAACUUCGU